UGGCUGUCUUCGAUAGUCCGAGUUGUAAUCUAUAGACGUGUUUUCCGUGCUGGACCGUAUCUAAGUCCCUUGGAACAGGGUAUCAAAGAGGGUGACAAUCCCGUGCUUGAUACGACCACCAGUGCUCUGUGAUACACGCUCUACGAGUCGAGUUGUUUGGGAAUGCAGCUCAAAAUGGGUGGUAAAUUCCAUCUAAAGCUAAAUAUUGGCGAGAGACCGAUAGCGAACAAGUACCGUGAGGGAAAGAUGAAAAGCACUUUGGAAAGAGAGUUAAACAGUACGUGAAAUUGUUGAAAGGGAAACGAUUGAAGUCAGUCGUGUUCUUUGGAUUCAGCUAGUUCUUCUAGUCUACUUCCAUUGAACGGGUCAACAUCAGUUUUGUCCGGUGGAUAAAGAUAGUAGGAAUGUAGCUCCCCCGGGAGUGUUAUAGACUAUUAUUGCAUACACUGGGUGAGA
rnacentral:rRNA from 1 species